rnacentral:rRNA from 1 species
CACUCCUACGGGAGGCAGCAGUGGGGAAUUUUGGACAAUGGGCGAAAGCCUGAUCCAGCAAUGCCGCGUGUGUGAAGAAGGCCUUCGGGUUGUAAAGCACUUUUGUCCGGAAAGAAAUCCUUGGCUCUAAUACAGUCGGGGGAUGACGGUACCGGAAGAAUAAGCACCGGCUAACUACGUGCCAGCAGCCGCGGUAAUACGUAGGGUGCGAGCGUUAAUCGGAAUUACUGGGCGUAAAGCGUGCGCAGGCGGUUUGCUAAGACCGAUGUGAAAUCCCGGGGCUCAACCUGGGAACUGCAUUGGUGACUGGCAGGCUAGAGUAUGGCAGAGGGGGGUAGAAUUCCACGUGUAGCAGUGAAAUGCGUAGAGAUGUGGAGGAAUACCGAUGGCGAAGGCAGCCCCCUGGGCCAAUACUGACGCUCAUGCACGAAAGCGUGGGGAGCAAACAGGAUUAGAAACCCCGGUAGUCCCAUGAU